UGAACCUCAUCUCUCUAUUAUAUUCUCUUACUUUCUAUCUCCCUUCUGAAAUAAAAUGGUGAUUUUAGCAUUGAAAAUACCUCAAAAGACAGUCAAGCUUGAAGGAACUCCUAGCCAUGGCAAGACUCAGACCUUGAUCUUUCUUAAAGACAAAGUGUGAAGAAAAAAACAGCUGUAGUGGUGUUUCUGUGGGGCUACAAAGGGGAGAAGAAAAGAGGUAUGAGAUUUGGGUGAGACUGGGAGAAAGGGAAAUCAAGAGAGAGGAAGGGGAAUUCCUAAAUUGCUGACAAGCAGGGAGAGAAAAGGAAUAUUUUUGAACCAGGUAUCUUUAAUUUAAUAGAUUUUCUUUUUUUGCUUUGAUUCCAAUUCUAAUGUUGUAUAUAUCCAAACAAAAACUUCAUUAAUAAUUCCUAUUCCAAUUUAAUACCAAAUAGAUAUGCUACUUUUGCUAAAACCCAUUCCCAUUCCCAUUCCAUAUUUUUUAGUCCAAUUCUAAUUUCAAUACCUAUGUUUGAACCAAAUGUCUCCUUAGUUGCACUAAACAGGCUGUAACAAUAUUACU